AGUGAACGCUGGCGGUAGGCCUAACACAUGCAAGUCGAACGGCAGCACAGUAAGAGCUUGCUCUUACGGGUGGCGAGUGGCGGACGGGUGAGGAAUACAUCGGAAUCUACUUUUUCGUGGGGGAUAACGUAGGGAAACUUACGCUAAUACCGCAUACGACCUACGGGUGAAAGCAGGGGAUCUUCGGACCUUGCGCGAUUGAAUGAGCCGAUGUCGGAUUAGCUAGUUGGCGGGGUAAAGGCCCACCAAGGCGAGGAUCGGUAGCUGGUCUGAGAGGAUGAUCAGCCACACUGGAACUGAGACACGGUCCAGACUCCUACGGGAGGCAGCAGUGGGGAAUAUUGGACAAUGGGCGCAAGCCUGAUCCAGCCAUACCGCGUGGGUGAAGAAGGCCUUCGGGUUGUAAAGCCCUUUUGUUGGGAAAGAAAAGCAGCAGGUUAAUACCCCGCUGUUCUGACGGUACCCAAAGAAUAAGCACCGGCUAACUUCGUG
rnacentral:rRNA from 1 species